rnacentral:rRNA from 1 species
CUACGGGAGGCACCAGUGAGGAAUAUUGGGCAAUGGGCGCAAGCCUGACCCAGCCAUCCCGCGUGCAGGAUGACAGCCCUACGGGUUGUAAACUGCUUUUAUACAGGAAGAAAAGCCUUGACGUGUCAAGGUCUGACGGUACUGUAAGAAUAAGCAUCGGCUAACUCCGUGCCAGCAGCCGCGGUAAUACGGAGGAUGCAAGCGUUAUCCGGAUUUAUUAGGUUUAAAGGGUGCGUAGGCGGAACAUUAAGUCAGUGGUGAAAUCUUGCGGCUUAACCGUAAAAUUGCCGUUGAAACUGAUGUUCUUGAGUAUAGUUGAGGUAGGCGGAAUGUGUCAUGUAGCGGUGAAAUGCAUAGAGAUGACACAGAACACCGAUUGCGAAGGCAGCUUACUAAGCUAUUACUGGCGCUGAGGCACGAAAGCGUGGGGAGCGAACAGGAUUAGAUACCCUAGUAGUC